UACGAAGGGGGCUAGCGUUGCUCGGAAUGACUGGGCGUAAAGGGCGCGUAGGCGGCUCAUACAGUCAGGCGUGAAAUUCCUGGGCUCAACCUGGGGACUGCGCUUGAGACGUGUGGGCUUGAGUGGGGAAGAGGGUCGUGGAAUUCCCAGUGUAGAGGUGAAAUGCGUAGAGAUCAGGAGGAACACCCGUGGCGAAGGCGGCUCUCUGGGCCGGCCCUGACGCUGAGGCGCGAAAGCGUGGGGAGCGAACGGG
rnacentral:rRNA from 1 species